rnacentral:rRNA from 1 species
GACGAACGCUGGCGGCGUGCCUAAUACAUGCAAGUUGAGCGCUGAAGGUUGGUACUUGUACCGACUGGAUGAGCAGCGAACGGGUGAGUAACGCGUGGGGAAUCUGCCUUUGAGCGGGGGACAACAUUUGGGAACGAAUGCUAAUACCGCAUAAAAACUUUAAACACAAGUUUUAAGUUUGAAAGAUGCAAUUGCAUCACUCAAAGAUGAUCCCGCGUUGUAUUAGCUAGUUGGUGAGGUAAAGGCUCACCAAGGCGAUGAUACAUAGCCGACCUGAGAGGGUGAUCGGCCACAUUGGGACUGAGACACGGCCCAAACUCCUACGGGAGGCAGCAGUAGGGAAUCUUCGGCAAUGGACGAAAGUCUGACCGAGCAACGCCGCGUGAGUGAAGAAGGUUUUCGGAUCGUAAAACUCUGUUGGUAGAGAAGAACGUUGGUGAGAGUGGAAAGCUCAUCAAGUGACGGUAACUACCCAGAAAGGGACGGCUAACUACGUG